rnacentral:lncRNA from 1 species
CAAUUUAAACUUACCUGGAAAGAACCUUAAUAAGUAAUUGAAUAACAAGACUUGCUGACCUGCUUUAAAUUCUCGAACUAGAAUGUGCUUGUCAUGCCAUCUUUUAAAUCUUUCCUUGAGUAAUUUGGCAUUCUCGUAUGAGAACAUUCGAAACUCUUCUAACUCAUUGAGUUGAAGCAUCCGUUUCUUUUUAGCUAGCUUAAGAUCCAAGUUGAGUUAUUGGAUAGCCC